rnacentral:rRNA from 1 species
UACGUAGGGGGCAAGCGUUGUCCGGAAUCAUUGGGCGUAAAGCGCGCGUAGGCGGCCCUGUAAGUCCGUUGUGAAAGUCAAAGGCUCAACCUUUGAAAGCCGAUGGAUACUGCAGGGCUAGGGUCCGGAAGAGGCGAGUGGAAUUCCUGGUGUAGCGGUGGAAUGCGCAGAUAUCAGGAGGAACACCAAUAGCGAAGGCAGCUCGCUGGGACGGUACUGACGCUAAGGCGCGAAAGCGUGGGGAGCGAACAGG